CGCUUUACAAACAUCCACAGCUAAACUGGUGUUCCUUACCUUAAAGUCGCUGGUUAAGCCCUUUGCACCGGUGAAGGCAGGAACACACGCUGCACCUGCCGCGGACCGCGAGGAGUCCUGCUUCUGCAUGGGAUAAUCCGAGCAAACACGAUUCAUACUGUCCUUGUGCUGCGGUUUGAUAAAAUCUGUCAGUCCGUCCAACGAUAAGCCUCCUGUUUUCUCAGUUUAGCGUCUUACACCGUUUAACAGAGCCAUGUUUUCAUUUGAGCCCGCGCUAGGAGAUGAUGGUCCGGAGCCGGAGGCACACUGCUACGCAAAGUGCCACGAACUUGCUGUGGAGCUACGCAAAUGCGGCGCGGAUAAUGCCGGAAAAAAUAUUUUUAUGGAAAAUGAGCUGUUUCUACAUCACUGAUCGUGCUGGCAAAUAUGGCUGCUCCCGAUUCGACCAACAACUUGCAGAGGUGAACACUGUUGCAGGAGGCAGCGCAGUGAAGAGGAGUCCUAAGAGACAAAAAGAAGAAAGUGUUUGUGUUGUCCUUUUGUCAAAAUGUUUUAAGUGUUGUAAUGGAACUUACCAUCCAUCGCUGUCUGCAGCAUUGACAUUUACACCGAAAUCUAACAAAAACUUGACAAUGUGAUGGUGUCCUGCACACACAGCGUUGUGCAGGGGAGUGAUGCCCUCAUCAUUUGGAGUGCUUGGAUUCUCCACCUAAAACAAACAUUGUUUCAUUUAGCAGAUACUACUAUUAUUCCACUUUAAUAAGUAACUAAUCAUGUGACACAGUUGUAAUAUGUGAAUUAUGUCACUGCGAUUACAAUGAAGUGAUGUUAUUGCAGUGGCACCAUUACAACAUAGUGGUGUGAUGCAUCACUCUCUCUGUCACCAUGUCUCCAUGUGUAAUAAGUGUCUGAGGAAUGCAGAUGCUGGCUGUGAACUACACUAAACAAUAAACUGAACUUCAUGUACAACAAACCUCAUAAAUGAUCCUCUGGACGAGGUCAAACUCUCCCUCCAAUGAGGCGUCCAGAAGAAGAGCCAGAGGAUUGAACUUGACCCUGAAACCAUGGCCAGUGCGCUCAGAGCUGGGCUUUUUCAAGUUUGUGCGCUUUUCCUGCAACAAAAUGGAAAUCAAUAAUAAAAAAAGAUCUUUAUUUACUGUUGUCUGUGUACGAGUAUAGCUCUCACCAGCGCCUGAGAGGCUGCCUCUCCGCUCUCCUCUGGAGUGCUCACUUCAGGCACAGGGCUGGGCAGCAGCACCUCAGAGCUCCCCAUGGUGUUGUUGUUGUCCUCGUCAGCUCCUUCUGCCUCACUGGGGUCUGCAGCUCCCUCAGGCGGCAGGGGCAGCGCCUCGUUGUCAUUAGCGUCAGUGGAUGCACUUGGUUCGGAGCCGGCCUCCUCUGGUCCUGAUGGAGGUGGGAGCUGGGUUUCUGAGGGGAGGUUGCCAUUGUCUGUGUCAGCUUCUCCUCCCAGAUAAGGCGGAGGAUUAGGCUGAUAAAAGGGGGUUCCAUUACCUGCACCGUUGCCACCUGGGGUCCCGCUGACUCCAUUGCCCUCUAUGCCUCCGGCUAGAGUGUUAAACCUCUGGUAAAGCAGUUUCUGGAUGUUGGGACCACUGGGGCCCUCUGGCUCCGUGAUGGAGCUCCUCUUCUUCAAGGGCCUUGGAGCGUUGGCCAGUUUUUUACGAAGCACCUCAAGGUCAGCAUCACUUUGGUAGCGCAGGGGUGAGUGUACCAUUGGUGUGAGCUUUGUUGGACUGAGCGGUCGUGGGAUGUUCUCCACACUCGGAGGGGGGGCUGAGGGUUCCAGAUGCUGCAAACCGUCCAAUUCUUCAAACUCUCCCUCCAGAGUGUCCUCACCUCCGGCAUGGAGCAAUGAAAACGUCCCACCCCUUGGACGAAGGGAAGAGGCGAGGGAGGGGUGGAGCUGGAUGAUAGUACAGGCUUUCCAUACACUAAGGACAAGACAAUCACUUUGUUAGUCACAAUUAUUAUGUGGCAUUUACACAAAACAAUGAAACAAGUGAAAACAGUUAGCACCUAAUGCUGAAUGCCUAAAUGUACCUGCUUUGAGAGCCGUCUUAGGGGCUGGCCCUUCGGCGCCGCCUGCUGGAGGUACAUAUGAUAGAUGGAGCUUGAGUUCAUGGUGGCGGGGCCUUUUCGGGGAGACUGGGGCCGUGAGCCUCUGUCUGCGAUGAAAGGUCGGACUGCCACAGCGGGAGGGGGGUCGAGUCGCUCACACAGGCUGGGGGGAACAUGGGGACAUUCGGCUGGAAGGUCGGGCUGGGGGGCACAGAGAUACGCUGCUGAAUCUGUUGAGAGGAUGAGCCAGUGGCGGGAGGGACGCGGGGCCAGGCAGGAGGGUUUGGUAACGGACGAGAAAGAGGCGGAACGUCCUUUCGUCUGUCCAAGGAGCUGGCUGAGUUUGCAGAGCUGAGGUGGGAGCCAUAAGGAGGGGGCUGAGGCUUGGACACGGUGGGGGAGGACACAGAGAUUUUGCCGUCCAGCCUCUAUGAGAACAAACAGAAGAGUAAUAAGUACUGUAUGUUAGUGUUCAUAUAGAAACUAAAGAUGAUCAUAAACAAAAAGAAGUACUGGAAAACAACUACUGACCUUGUCUGCACCUGGAGUGACUGGGGAGCCUGAGGGGGAACUCUUGCCCUGAGAAUCACUUCCUGAGUCUCUUCUCUCUGGUGGCUUCAAAGUGCUGGACUUGCCAAUAGCAGGCCACCCAGCAUCAGCUGAAGAACAAGUGGGAACAAAUGGGGAAAUGAAUGAGAAAAAACUCACAAUGCUGUAAUGAAAAUAAAAUGAGAAAG
ensembl:lncRNA